CGAGCCGCGUGAGGGAUGAAGGCCUUCGGGUUGUAAACCUCUUUCGGCAGGGAAGAAGCGCAAGUGACGGUACCUGCAGAAGAAGCACCGGCUAACUACGUGCCAGCAGCCGCGGUAAUACGUAGGGUGCGAGCGUUGUCCGGAAUUAUUGGGCGUAAAGAGCUCGUAGGCGGUUUGUUGCGUCGGCUGUGAAAUCCCGAGGCUCAACCUCGGGUCUGCAGUCGAUACGAGCAAACUAGAGUGUUGCAGGGGAGACUGGAAUUCCUGGUGUAGCGGUGAAAUGCGCAGAUAUCAGGAGGAACACCGGUGGCGAAGGCGGGUCUCUGGGCAACAACUGACGCUGAGGAGCGAAAGCGUGGGGAGCGAACAGGAUUAGAUACCCUGGUAGUCCACGCCGUAAACGUUGGGCGCUAGGUGUGGGGCUCAUUCCACGAGUUCCGUGCCGCAGCUAACGCAUUAAGCGCCCCGCCUGGGGAGUACGGCCGCAAGGCUA
rnacentral:rRNA from 1 species